CACCGGCAGCUCAAGUGGUGGCCAUUUUUAUUGGGCCUAAAGCGUUCGUAGCCGGCUUGAUAAGUCUCUGGUGAAAUCCCAUAGCUUAACUGUGGGAAUUGCUGGAGAUACUAUUAGGCUUGAGAUCGGGAGAGGUUAGGGGUACUCCCAGGGUAGGGGUGAAAUCCUAUAAUCCUGGGAGGACCACCUGUGGCGAAGGCGCCUAACUGGAACGAUUCUGAGCCCCCGUAACGAAAGCCAGGGGC
rnacentral:rRNA from 1 species